AUCGAACGCUGGCGGCAGGCCUAACACAUGCAAGUCGAGCGGAGCGGAGGACGGGUGAGUCAUGCCUAGGAAUCUGCCCGGUAGUGGGGGAUAACGUCCGGAAACGCGCGCUAAUACCGCAUAAUAUCAGAUGAGCCUAGGUCGGGUGAGCUAGUUGGUGGGGUAAAGGCCUACCAAGGCGACGAUCCGUAACUGGUCCGAGAGGAUGAUCAGUCACACGGGAACGGGGACGCGUUCAGUAGUACUGAGGGAGGCAGCAAUGGGGAACAUUGGGCAAUAGGCGAAAGCCUGGUACAGCGAUGCCGCGUGUGUGGAGGAGGUCUUGGGUUUGGAAAGCACGUUAAGUUGUUAGGCGUUACCAGCAGAAUAAGCACCGGCUAACUACGUGCCAGCAGCCGCGGUAAUAC
rnacentral:rRNA from 1 species